UGGGGAAUAUUGCACAAUGGGCGCAAGCCUGAUGCAGCAACGCCGCGUGAGGGACGACGGCCUUCGGGUUGUAAACCUCUUUUAGUAGGGAAGAAGCGAAAGUGACGGUACCUGCAGAAAAAGCACCGGCUAACUACGUGUCAGCAGCCGCGGUAAUACGUAGGGUGCGAGCGUUGUCCGGAAUUAUUGGGCGUAAAGAGCUCGUAGGCGGUCUGUCGCGUCUGCUGUGAAAACCCGAGGCUCAACCUCGGGCCUGCAGUGGGUACGGGCAGACUAGAGUGCGGUAGGGGAGAAUGGAAUUCCUGGUGUAGCGGUGGAAUGCGCAGAUAUCAGGAGGAACACCGAUGGCGAAGGCAGUUCUCUGGGCCGUAACUGACGCUGAGGAGCGAAAGCGUGGGGAGCGAACAGGAUUAGAUACCCUGGUAGUCCACGCCGUAAACGUUGGGCGCUAGAUGUGGGGCACCAUUCCACGGUUUCCGUGUC
rnacentral:rRNA from 1 species